rnacentral:rRNA from 1 species
UACGUAGGGUGCAAGCGUUGUCCGGAAUUAUUGGGCGUAAAGAGCUUGUAGGCGGUUUGUCGCGUCUGCUGUGAAAUUUCGGGGCUCAACCCCGAACUUGCAGUGGGUACGGGCAGACUAGAGUGUGGCAGGGGAGACUGGAAUUCCUGGUGUAGCGGUGAAAUGCGCAGAUAUCAGGAGGAACACCGAUGGCGAAGGCAGGUCUCUGGGCCACUACUGACGCUGAGAAGCGAAAGCAUGGGGAGCGAACAGG